rnacentral:rRNA from 1 species
GAUGAACGCUGGCGGCGUGCCUAAUACAUGCAAGUCGAGCGAACGGACGAGAAGCUUGCUUCUCUGAUGUUAGCGGCGGACGGGUGUGUAACACGUGUAUAACCUACCUAUAUGACUGGGAUAACCUCGGGAAACCGGCGCUUAUACCGGAGGAUAUUUUGAACCGCAUGGUUCAAAAGUGAAAGACGGUCUUGGUGUCUCUUCUAGAGGGAUCCGCGCUGCAUUAGCUGGUUGGUAAGGUAACGGCUUACCAAGGGGACGAGGCAUAGCCGAACUGAGAGAGUGGUCGGCCACACUGGAACUGAGACACGGUCCAGACUCCUGAGGGAGGCAGCAGUAGGGAAUCUGCCGCAGUGGGGGAAAGCCUGACGGAACAACGGCGCGUGAGUGAUGGAGGUCUUCGGAUCGUAAAACUCUGUUAUGAGGGGAGAACAUAUGUGUACGUAGCUGUGGACAGAUUGACGGUACCGAAUAAGAAAGCCACGGCUAACUACGUG